UGGGCGUGGGCGCGCGCGAGGGGCGCGAGCGGCGUGGGCGGCGCGGGUUGUGUCCGGUUAAUUAAUUUUGCUGGAGCAGCCUACUUCAUCGUGGCGGACAAGACAUUCUGGCGUCGGCCAGGAGUGAUCUCCGCGCUCUCUCCCUCGCCGGCGCCGUGCCCUCUCCGCGUCCUCUCCCUGGGGCCGGGAUCUGCGGCGUGAUCUUCGCCGGCAUCGCGCCCUCUCCCUGGCACCCUCUCCGACCUCCCGCUCGUGAGCCCCAAUGCCCUCUCCCUGGUGCCUGCAUCCUGUUCGGCGAAAUGUUGAGGUGAUCAUGGGGCUCUCCGCAGGCAUCAGAGAAGUGGGGCGCGGAGCUAGGGAUGGUUCUGGCCAUCUUUGACAGAUUUGAUAGAGACAGAAGUGGAAAAAUUAACUCAGAGGAAUUGAGAAGCACUUCGAAGUCUUGGAUAUGUAGUUCCACCUUCUGUUAUUGAGGUGCUUAUAUCCAAUUACAGCGAUGGAAGGUUUGGCAGGGGAGUUCUCAACUUCGACAACUUUAUUGAGAAGGUUGUGAAGUUCCAGCGAUCGUCAACGAGGGCGGCGAGACAGUCGUAUCUUUUUCCUGCAAAUCGCUCAAUCCCAUCGCUGUUGAUGCUGAUUCUCUUCCAAACCUGAGGAGCGAGCUUAGGCACCAGCUAGCUAAAAGGAGCCGAUUCCUGAAUCUAAUGUUGAUUUCCUAUUAUUUCCUGACGUAUCCAUGUCUGUCUUCUGUUGUUUAUUUGUCUCUAAGAGUGUAGUAUGCAACUUCGAAAAUCUUUAUUUGGAUACAUGACUUGCUUAUAUACAAAUCUUUGAACAAACAGAGUAUGUUUUUAUACAACAAUGCCGACCUUAUUUGUUAUCUACGAGCUCUAUGUUAUACAAUUGUAUGGAGAUUGUAGACGCACUAUAUUAAUUGAUUUGUCUCUACUUCAAAAUAACCUU